GGCAUGUCUGCAUGAGUUUCCCAAUCUAUUAGAUCCUCAGAGUCCUGCGACUGCUCACCCUCAGCGGCGGUGCAGUGGGCGGGGCUUUCUUCAGCACCCUCACGCGCCACUGUAACUUCCACUGUCGCGUGCGAUGUAGCCGGCUCUCGCACCUGAUCGGACGGUCCAUGAGGCUCUGGCUCCGGGGCAAUCUCCAGCUCAGUCGCUCCUUCUUGCGAUGGCUCGUAGGUUGCUAUGGGCUCUGGCUCUCCGUCCGCAGUGGGCUCGGGCUGACGCUCUGCGGCUCGGGGUGAUGGUGGGCUGGGCUCUGGGUCAGGAGUGGGGCUGGUGUCAUCGUCCUCGAAGUCCACGGUCAGUGGGGAUCCACAGGACACCAGCACCCACUCCACAAAGGUGGCAGAAUCUCCCCGAGGACCAUCUCCGGACAACCGCGCUCUGCACUUGUCGUUCGGGAGAACGUGCAGAGGCAUUAGUCCGGGUAGUGGGUAUAGUUGUAGAUUUCCACGAAUAGUCUUGUAUGGUCCUCGAGGGAAAGGCUCCUCUGCUCCAGCAUGAGGAGGAGGCAGGCAGGGUCAUUCAUGACAAAACAGAAAAUAAAAACGGAAAAACAAAAUGAGGGGAAACACGCUGCUAGACUUAACUUUCGUUUUGGUCGGUUAUUCUGUCACGGUUCUGGGUAGUGCACACACAAUAAACGCAAAGACGAAGGUUCAAAGGGAAUAAGAGAUUUAAUAUAACUAGAGAUGAGGAGGUAACAACAACAAUAACCGACAAACAAGAACUCAAAGGACGGCAACUAAUAUAGGGCAGAUAACGAGGGGCAGACAGGUGAACACAAUGAAGGUGAUUAACUAAUAAUAGACAAUGGCAGAAACUAGGUCACACAGAGCACAUGGGGAGCAAAACACACACAAGACAGUCCAGGGGCGUGACAGUAAUAGGGUUAACAAAAAUAAAUUUCUGUAACCUUUUAUACAGCUAAAGCGUAAGUUGAAGCUACAACACAAGCAGCAGGAGUCCGUUCCGGAGAGCUCCAAAGAUGCAACACCUGAUGAUCUGGAGGAAAAUGUAACUUCUUUACCAAGCUGCAGCAGCCAGGGUUCUGAUGCUAGCAUUUUUCCCAUGAAAAUGAAGAUAGAGUUUCUGGAGGAGAAAAUAAAAUGGCAAGAAAAAAUGAUCGGAGAGCUAGAAAAUGAACGUGAUUUUCUUCGAGAACAGGUUCUUGGGAAAGCCAAAGGACAAGAUGUUGUUAAAGGUCCAGGGGAGGUCAUCAGCCGCUAUAAUCAAGUCCUCAAAACAUUCAGGAAGGUUUGCACGAUGUCAGAGGCGUUCCAUCGGCACAAUGUUGACAGGGGCACUAUUGCAGCAACAGCACCAAUAGCAGAGCUUCAGAUUGCAGACCCCAAGACCUACAGCACCCUGGUGUUCGAUCCAGCUAUGGAAACAUUGCUUGCUUUUGCAAAAAGAUGUGCCAGUGGUGUUAAUCCUGAAAUUAAAAGAUCCAUUGAAGAUCUCAAGGCUCGAGGGCAUCUGUUGCCCAUUUUGAUGAAGUAUUGAAUUAAUAGAGUGGGGGAACUAUGAUGUCACUUUGUAGGCGAAAACCCGGAAGCGAGUUAGCAUUUUAGCACUUCUGGUUCCAUCGUCCCAGAGUCAAUGGGUUUUUUGAAGGGGAUUUUGGUUAAAUCCCUUAAAUAAGGUCCGUGGUUCACACAGACUCAAGGUACUUUCACGUUUUAUUCUACAACAUAAAACACACCAGUUACACCCCACUUGUGAUUUUUUUUUUUAAGCUGUUACGUUUCUUAAAAAAGACGGUUGCUAAUAAGUUGCUAAAUGGGACUACAGGCGCUGUCGGAGACAUUUAACGUCAUCACGCCGAACAGUUUAUCAAUUUAGUAUUUUCCAGUUGUAGUAUAAUUUGUAAUACAAUUAAUUUUAGGAUAACCAAUGAAUAGUUUACAGCAUUUUAUAUUGUUGUUCGACAAUGUUUUUUUUUUGCUUUGCCCCGAAAUGCGACACAUUUCUUCGGAUGGAAGAUGCUCGUUUUAUCGCUUUCCUGAUGCGGAGACUCUGGGUUCGGACGAUAAGGUAAACUCAUAUUAUGAUUAUUACAUGUAAACACCACAUUUACCGGCUUAACGUGGUGAAAGUGAAACUUUAAUGAUGCAUAGUGCUUAAAGCCACGUUAAAAUUAAAUGUGUACGACCACAUGAAGCUGUUAGAAAGAGAUUGUAGAAGCAAGGAUAAAAUAAUAUUUUGUGUACCCACCCUAACAAAAUGACAGCUGAAAUGUGGUACUUUGUUCACUAAAAUAAGUUUAAUCUUACCAUAUCCAAAGACUCGCUCACUGCUAUUUAAAAAAUUAAAAUACGCGGGAAUACGUUUUUAAUUAAAGUAUUCAUAUUAAUCAAGGAUUUAUUGACUUUUAAUGCACCUUAUUUGGAAAUGUACAGAAAUACGUGCUUUAAAUGUCCUUUAGUUAUGAUUAUUUCAUUUAUU